UUUUUGAUGACUGCUUCAAUUUCCUCCCUGGUUAUUGGCCUGUUCAGGUUUUCUAUUUCUUCCUGUUCCAGUUUUGGUAGUUUGUGGCUUUCCAGGAAUGCGUCCAUUUCUUCUAGAUUGCCUAAUUUAUUGGCGUAUAGCUGUUCAUAAUAUGUUUUUAAAAUCGUUUGUAUUUCCUUGGUGUGGUGGUAGUGAUCUCUCCUUUCUCAUUCAUGAUUUUAUUAAUUUGAGUCUUCUCUCUCUUCUUUUUAAUAAGGCUGGCUAAUGGUUUAUCUAUCUUAUUAAUUCUUUCAAAGAACCAACUCCUGGUUUUGUUGAUCUGUUCCACAGUUCUUCUGGUCUCGAUUUCGUUGAGUUCUGCUCGAAUCUUUAUUAACUCCCUUCUUCUCUUGGGUGUAGGAUCUAUUUGCUGUUUUUUCUCUAGCUCCUUUAUGUGUAAGGUUAGCUUUUGUAUUUGAGUUCUUUCCUUUUUGAAUGGAUGCUUGUAUUGCGAUGUAUUUCCCCCUUAGGACUGCUUUUGCUGCAUCCCAAAGAUUUUGAACGGUUGUAUCUUCAUUCUCAUUAGUUUCCAUGAAUCUUUUUAAUUCUUCCUUAAUUUCCUGGUUGACCCUUUUAUCUUUUAGCAGGAUGGUCCUUAACCUCCACGUGUUUGAGGUCCUUCCAAACUUCUUGUUGUGAUUUAGUUCUAAUUUCAAGGCACUAUGGUCUGAGAAUAUGCAGGGGACAAUCCCAAUCUUUUGGUAUCGGUUCAGACCCGAUUUGUGACCCAAUAUGUGGUCUAUUCUGGAGAAAGUUCCAUGUGCGUUUGAGAAGAAUGUGUAUUCAGUUGAGUUUGGAUGUAAAGUUCUGUAGAUAUCUGUGAAAUCCAUCUGGUCCAGUGUAUCAUUUAAAGCUCUCGUUUCUUUGGAGAUGUUGUGCUUAGAAGACCUAUCGAGUAUAGAAAGAGCUAGAUUGAAGUCACCAAGUAUAAGUGUAUUAUUAUCUAAGUAUUUUUUCACUUUGGUUAAUGAUUGAUAUAUUUGGCAGCUCCCACAUUCGGGGCAUAUAUAUUGAGGAUUGUUAAGUCCUCUUGUUGAAUAGAUCCUUUAAGUAUGAUAUAGUGUCCCUCUUCAUCUCUCACUACAGUCUUUGGGGUAAAUUUUAGUUUAUCUGAUAUAAGGAUGGCUACCCCUGCUUUCUUUUGAGGACCAUUCGAAUGGUAAAUGGUUCUCCAACCUUUUAUUUUCAGGCUGUAGGUGUCCUUCUGUCUAAAAUGAGUCUCUUGUAGACAGCAAAUAGAUGGGUCCUGCUUUUUUAUCCAGUCUGAAACCCUGCGCCUUUUGAUGGGGUCGUUAAGCCCGUUCACAUUCAGAGUUACUAUUGAGAGAUAUGAGUUUAGUGUCAUCAUGAUAUCUAUUCAGUCCUUGUUUUUGUGGACUGUUCCACUGAACUUCUUCUUAAAGGGGAAUUUUAAGAGUCCCCCUUAAAAUUUCUUGCAGAGCUGGUUUGGAGGUCACAUAUUCUUUUAGUUGCUGCCUGUCUUGGAAGCUCUUUAUCUCUCCUUCCAUUUUGAAUGAGAGCCUUGCUGGAUAAAGUAUUCUUGGUUGCAUGUUCUUCUCAUUUAGGACCCUGAAUAUAUCCUGCCAGCCCUUUCUGGCCUGCCAGGUCUCUGUGGAGAGGUCUGCUGUUACCCUAAUACUCCUCCCCAUAAAAGUCAGGGAUUUCUUGUCUCUUGCUGCUUUAAGGAUCUUCUCUUUAUCUUUGGAAUUUGCAAGCUUCACUAUUAAAUGUCGAGGUGUUGAACGGUUUUUUAUUGAUUUUAGGGGGGGAUCUCUCUAUUUCCUGGAUCUGAAUGCCUGUUUCCCUUCCCAGAUUAGGAAAGUUUUCAGCUAGAAUUUGUUCAAAUACAUAUUCUGGCCCUCUGUCCCUUUCGGCGCCCUCGGGAACCCCAAUUAAACGUAGGUUUUUCUUUCUCAGGCUGUCGUUUAUUUCCCUUAAUCUAUCCUCAUGGUCUUUAAUUGUUUGUCUCUUUUUUCCUCAGUUUCCCUCUUUGCUAUCAACUUGUCUUCUAUGUCACUCACUCGUUCUUCCACCUUGUUAACCCUCGUCGUUAGGACUUCUAGUUUGGAUUGCAUCUCAUUCAAUUGAUUUUUAAUUUCCGCCUGAUUAGCUCUAAAUUCUGCAGUCAUGAAGUCUCUUGAGUCCUUUAUGCUUUUUUCUAGAGCCACCAGUAGCUGUAUAAUAGUGCUUCUGAAUUGGCUUUCUGACAUUGAAUUGUAAUCCAGAUUUUGUAACUCUGUGGGAGAGAGGACUGUUUCUGAUUCUUUCUUUUGAGGUGAGGUUUUCCUUCUAGUCAUUUUGCUCAGUGCAGAGUGGCCAAAAGCAAGUUGUAUUGGGAAAAAGAGAAAAAGAGAGGAGAGAAAGAAGGAAAGAAAAGAGAAAGAGAAAAAAAAGGGAAGAAAAAAAA
rnacentral:lncRNA from 1 species